AUCGAACGCUGGCGGCAGGCCUAACACAUGCAAGUCGAGCGGAGGAAGGGAGCUUGCUUCUGGAUUCAGCGGCGGACGGGUGAGUAAUGCCCAGGAAUCUGCCUGCUAGUGGGGGAUAAUGUCCGGAAACGGGCGCUAAUACUGCAUACGUCCUGAGGGAGAAAGUGGGGGAUCUUCUGACCUCACGCUCUCUGAUGAGUCUACGCCGGAUUAGCUAGUUGGUGGGGUAAAGGCCUACCGAGGCGACCAUCCGUAACUGGGCUGAGAGGGUGAUCAGGCAUGAUAGGACUGAGAGACAGUCCGGAACUCAACGAGGGGCAGGAGUGGGAAAGGAUGGACAAGGGGGGAAAGCUUCACAAUGGCAUGACGCGUGAGGAGGAGGUCUUCGGAUUGUGAAGAACGUUAUGUUGGGAGAAAGGGCAGUAAGUUAAUAAGUAGCUGUUUUGACGUUACCUGCAGAAUAAGCACCGGCUAACUACGUG
rnacentral:rRNA from 1 species